UAUCCUACGGGAGGCAGCAGUGAGGAGUAUUGGUCAAUGGGCGAGAGCCUGAACCAGCCAAGUCGCGUGAGGGAAGACGGUCCUAUGGAUUGCAAACCUCUUUUGCCGGGGAGCAAAAAGCGGUACGUGUACCGCAUCGAGAGUACCCGGAGAAAAAGCAUCGGCUAACUCCGUGCCAGCAGCCGCGGUAAUACGGAGGAUACGAGCGUUAUCCGGAUUCAUUGGGUUUAAAGGGUGCGCAGGCGGCGAGUUAAGUCAGCGGUAAAAUUUCGGGGCUCAACCCCGACGAGCAGUUGAAACUGGCG
rnacentral:rRNA from 1 species